GAAAGACCAGAUUACAAACGUAAAUAUAUUACCACUGAUUGAUCUUUUUUGUUGUCAAUGUAGCUUAUAGGAGACUCAUCUUAAGUCAAACUGCUUUAAUAGAACUAAAGCCAUGUCAGGGUUUGAACCGCUGUAAAGAUAUUCAAGUGGAAAUAUCCAGCAGAUAAUUAAGGUCUGGUGCUUAGAAGAGAGGUUGGAGCUUGGUCCUAAAGAUGAAGAUUUGGGACUAAGGAUUAAUAGCCCAGCCAUGACAACACAUACUUUGGCUAAGAAAUUAUGUGUACAUGUAUGUUUGGAAGAAGGAGAAAGGAAGAAAACAAGCUGGCAGAAAAUGGAUGUAACUCCAAAAUAUACCAAGUCCAAAUUUUGUUUGUUUGUUUGGCUUGAAGACGGAGAGGAAAAGAUGCAAACUGUCUAAUGGGCAGGUGGAAGAAAACCUAUUGUUUUUAUGUACAACUAAAGUACCAUUUGGUUUGGGAAAUUAGCCUUUCAAUUUGUGAUUAUGAUGUAAAAAGAAGUUCAG